rnacentral:rRNA from 1 species
CAGCAGCCACGGGAAUACGUAGGUGGCAAGCGUUGUCCGGAUUUAUUGGGCGUAAAGCGAGCGCAGGCGGUUUCUUAAGUCUGAUGUGAAAGCCCCCGGCUCAACCGGGGAGGGUCAUUGGAAACUGGGAAACUUGAGUGCAGAAGAGGAGAGUGGAAUUCCAUGUGUAGCGGUGAAAUGCGUAGAUAUAUGGAGGAACACCAGUGGCGAAGGCGGCUCUCUGGUCUGUAACUGACGCUGAGGCUCGAAAGCGUGGGGAGCAAACAGGAUUAGAGACCCCCGUAGUCCCUGUCUCUUAUAC